rnacentral:rRNA from 1 species
GCCUGAAACCACAUCACUCUGAAUGCACCCGACACUGCCAGAUAUCAGAAGAUAAGCAGAGCAGAGCCCGGUCGGUACUUGGAUGUGAGUUUGCCUGGGAAUGUCGGGGUGUUGUAGGCG